AUACCAUGAUGAGGACAUCUCCAGAGUAACUCCUUAAAUCUCUCUCAUGCAUCACACAAGCUCUCAUCUUCAAAUUGAUGGAAAGAUGUGAUUUCGUUCCUCGACUUU
rfam:Citrus sinensis cultivar Ridge Pineapple sweet orange scaffold08067_contig_1, whole genome shotgun sequence.